rnacentral:rRNA from 1 species
AUUGAACGCUGGCGGCAGGCCUAACACAUGCAAGUCGAACGAGUGGCGGACGGGUGAGUAAUGUCUGGGAAUCUGCCUGAUGGAGGGGGAUAACUACUGGAAACUGUAGCUAAUACCGCAUACCAUCGGAUGUGCCCAGAUGGGAUUAGAUAGUAGGUGGGGUAAAGGCACACCUAGGCGACGAUCCCUACCUGGUCUGAGAGGAUGACCAGCCACAGUGGAACUGAGACACGGUCAGGACUCCUACGGGAGGCAGCAGUGGGGAAUAUUGCACAAUGGGCGCAAGCCUGAUGCAGCCAUGCCGCGUGUAUGAAGAAGGCCUUCGGGUUGUAAAGUACUUUCAGCGGGGAGGCGUUACCCGCAGAAGAAGCACCGGCUAACUCCGUGCCAGCCGCCGCGGUAAUUC